rnacentral:misc_RNA from 1 species
AACAAGGCGUACCUGCGGACCUGCGGAGGGAUCAUUAUUAAAAUUUUUUACAUUUUAUUGUAAAAAAAAAAAUUGUAUUCAAAACCCCAUACUCUUUAAAAUUCAAAAAAAAAUUUUUUUGUAAAUAAAAAAUUUUUUUUAAAUAAAAAUAAAUAAUAAAAAGACAACUUUUAACAACGGAUCU